GGGGAGUUACUCAAGAGGCUGAAGAGGACGGUUUGCUAAAUCGUUAGGUCGGGAAACCGGCGCGAGGGUUCGAAUCCCUUACUCCCCU
rfam:Lactococcus garvieae Lg2 DNA, complete genome.